GUCAGCCAUAGCCAGGAAUCUCCCCAAGCGAACCGACAACGAGAUCAAGAAUUAUUGGAACACACAUCUCAAGAAACGACUAGUUGAUAGGGGCAUUGAUCCUGUGACUCAUAGGCUGAUUACCUCAUCAUCCAUGGAUAAUCCCUGCAACAUGGUUGAGGAAAGAAGUGACUCUGAAAUCAGGCCAAUCCAAAGGUCUAUCUCAACUUCAGCUAAGUUGAUCAACCAAGUAUCUGCAAAGUUUGCUCAAAUGCAGCGUAAAGAAAUGACCACCACAGUCUCAACACCUCCAACUUGCCUUGAUGCAAUCAAGGCAGUUUUGCUUAACUCAACUAAAGAUACCAUUACUUAUAGUGGCAGCAGCGGCGGAGGAGGUGGCGACAAUGGUGAUGAUAGUGAUGUUGAAAUGAUACCAUCUAGGCCUAUUUCACGUUCAAGUCGGAUAUUAAAUAAAAUGGCUACUAAACUAGCACCAUCAAAGAGUCUCGACUUGCUUAAGAAUAGGCUUAGCGUUCCAUCAAAGCAAUCAAUGGCAAGUAGGAGUGUUUCUGAUACUAGUACUACUGGUGGUACUUACAAUAACAUUGAGUCUCCCAUUUCUAUAUCAGACCUUUUGGAGAGCAUGCCAACUUCAUCUUCUGCAUGCGAAUCAUCUGAACUUACAGGAAAUUUAAGCAUGGGUGAAGAUCAAGUUAACGAAGCAUUCGCAGUUCUUCAUCAAGCAAUGGAGUUGGAGACCACAGCCACCCCAGAAUCUCCUAUGUACACAACCAAUGAAUUAGAAGAGCUUUUAGGAAAUUAUGGAGGUGAUCAAGAUGGGGCAACUAUUACCAAUGAUGUGACCAAGAGCAAGGCAUGUGAUUCCCAAGUUGCCACAUCUAUGGAACCCGCUACUGAUUUCAUUGAAAAAUUCACAAAUAUGCCUUUCGGUUGCAGACCUAAUGAGUACUCCACCACCAAAGAUAAUUUCUAUGGUGAGGAGGAAAGCAAUGGUGGAGCACUGGAAGUGAAUAUGAAUUAUUGGAAUGAGGAUUUUGAUUGGUUAAUUACGGAUUGCAAUAAUUGAUGUAGGGAGCACACUUUUUGAUUGAUUACUUUCUUCCUACAUCGAAAUCAAGUUUUGUUAGUCAAGACUGUGCUUGUCACCACCUAGUUAAGUAUCUUAUUUCUAGUCCAAUUUCAGAGAUCAAUUUCUUGAAAUUCUCUUAACUAGCUCUCUCUCUCUCAUACUUAUUCACAAGGCUUUAGUGUCUUCUAAUUCAGAUGGAAGGCAAACGUAA
rnacentral:misc_RNA from 1 species